UACGUAGGGUGCAAGCGUUGUCCGGAAUUAUUGGGCGUAAAGAGCUCGUAGGCGGUCUGUCGCGUCUGGUGUGAAAACUCAAGGCUUAACCUUGGGCCUGCAUCGGGUACGGGCAGACUAGAGUGCGGUAGGGGAGACUGGAAUUCCUGGUGUAGCGGUGAAAUGCGCAGAUAUCAGGAGGAACACCGGUGGCGAAGGCGGGUCUCUGGGCAUUAACUGACGCUGAGGAGCGAAAGCAUGGGGAGCGAACAGG
rnacentral:rRNA from 1 species